AUUGAACGCUGGCGGCAUGCUUUACUCAUGCAAGUCGAACGGUAACAGGCCGCAAGGUGCUGACGAGUGGCGAACGGGUGAGUAAUGCAUCGGAACGUGCCCAGUCGUGGGGGAUAACUACUCGAAAGAGUAGCUAAUACCGCAUACGAUCUAUGGAUGAAAGCGGGGGACCGUAAGGCCUCGCGCGAUUGGAGCGGCCGAUGUCAGAUUAGGUAGUUGGUGGGGUAAAGGCUCACCAAGCCAACGAUCUGUAGCUGGUCUGAGAGGACGACCAGCCACACUGGGACUGAGACACGGCCCAGACUCCUACGGGAGGCAGCAGUGGGGAAUUUUGGACAAUGGGCGCAAGCCUGAUCCAGCAAUGCCGCGUGCAGGAAGAAGGCCUUCGGGUUGUAAACUGCUUUUGUACGGAACGAAACGGCUCUGGUUAAUACCCGGGGCUAAUGACGGUACCGGAAGAAUAAGCACCGGCUAACUACGUG
rnacentral:rRNA from 1 species